rnacentral:lncRNA from 1 species
GUUACGCGUUUUUUAUGUAAAAAUACCAUUUAGAUACCAGAUAUGUUUUUCUAAUAUUUUUUUUUUAGAAAAACAAAAACAAGUUGAAGGGGUAACACACACUAUUGCAUAACCAACAAAUUGAAGGGGUAACAAACACUAUUGCAUAACCCGCACACUAAAGGGGCAAUAUGUAACACUCAUAUGCAUAACCCGAAAAAUGAAGGGGCAACAUACAAUCCUUUUUACAGUGUUGCCACAUUGUCCAAUACCCACCCCACACUGUAAUUUAAUUCGAAUUUUUAUUGCACAAUUUGGCUAUAAACUCUUAUUCUAAAAUCGUCAUUGCCCCACUACUAAGGUGAGAUUUUAUGCCGAUUUGUGUCCUUUUUUCACCUAUAUGGAACGGCGCUUAUCAUAUUUUCAAUUUUCAUCUGUUGUACCCUAAUUUUAGUACAUUUGUCUUCUUAAUUUUCCAGGGCCAUCAUAAUAUAUUUACUACGCGAAUUGUGCCGGGGAGCUGUAGAUCUUGGGCGGGAAUUGUGCCGGGGAGCUGUAGAUCUUGGGCGGGAAUUGUGCCAGGGAGCAGUGGGUUUUGGGCGCGAGAUAAUAGAGGUUGUGCACGACAGCGAAUGCAUGAAGGUCCGGGAAUUAUGAGUAAAUUAGCUGAUGAAUCUGAGAGCAAUUUGCGUAAAGGUUUUGAAGAGGCAGACAAACAUGCUCCAGCCAUUAUCUUUAUUUAUGAACUAGAUGCUAUUGCGCCUAAAAGAGGAAAGGUAAGUUCACAUCUUCCAGUACUAUUAAGUCAAAUAUAUUAGACCUCAACUGAUAUUCCGAUGAAAAAUUCUGCACUUACUUCUCAUAAAUUUCAGCUCUAGCAUUUGCUC